AAACUUUGCUUGCUAGGGAACAGGCAGUGAAAUGUAAUCCUGACGUUCGCACUGAGGCCAUAACUCAUGAUACUGAUUUUCUUCUUAUAGCAAGUGUCGGCAUCUGGGAUUUUGUGUCAAGUCAGGAAGCUGUUGAUUUUGUACAAGAAAAGUUCGCCGGAGGGACGUCAGAUCUGCGUACCAUUUGUGAGGAGCUUCUUGAUCAUUGCUAUAGCUCGAAGGGCAACUCAACGGUGAUACUGGUUCAGUUCAGGCAUGCCGCCAGGCUUCCUCAUCCAGCCCCCGACCUGCCAGUAGCCCACCCAACCGACGCUGGUGGCAGUAGCAACCCAUCUUCUUCCAGUGCCGGCAUCACUCAAGACACUGGUGCUGACGCCAAGGCCACUACUGACACCAACGCCGAGAACAAGGAAGAUGUAGCCCUCGUGGCUCCAUCAACUUAGCUAGCUGCACGGAGGUAUGAGUUUUGAUCGAGAAUAGAGAGCUCCUGGGUUGGGAAGGGUGCAGUGCUAUUUGCUUUCCUAUUUUGCGAAGACGA